UGAUACCACUUGUUGCCCAGAUAGACAACCUAAGAGGGGGGGUGAAUUGGGUUUUAAAAUAAUUAUUGCAAUUAAAAUAUUUGUGGACACUAAUUAAUACUUUUUGCAAGUUGAUUAAUUCGAUGCUAUGUGCAGUGAGUGAGAUGAAAGUAAAGACGUCAAGGCAAUCACAAACACAAUGAUUUUAUAGUGGUUCGGAGCUAACCCUUGCUCCUACGUCCACUCUCCAAGCCUCACUUGGGAAUUCACUAUAACCCCUCGGAAUACAGCCGGUUGUUUUACAAGCUCACAACCCAACUUGUUGUUUUACGAGGUCACAACGAACUCGGUCGGUUUU
rnacentral:lncRNA from 1 species